CUCUAGCAUAAAUAGUAUUAGAGGCACUGCCUGCCCAGUGACAAUACGUUUAACGGCCGCGGUAUCCUGACCGUGCAAAGGUAGCAUAAUCACUUGUUCUUUAAAUAAGGACUAGUAUGAAUGGCUCAACGAGGGUUUAACUGUCUCUUACUUUUGAUCAGUGAAAUUGACCUCCCCGUGAAGAGGCGGGAAUUUUUUAAUAAGACGAGAAGACCCUAUGGAGCUUAAAUUUAAUAGUCUCACAAUCUUAACAAUAUCUAAGGAAUUAAAAUCAUUGCUCAUAGACUAAAAAUUUUGGUUGGGGUGACCUCGGAGUACAAACUAACCUCCGAAUGAUAAUAAUCUAGACAUAACAUGUCCAAAUUACAACUCAUUAAUUGACCCAAAUUAUUGAUCAACGGAACAAGUUACCCUAGGGAUAACAGCGCAAUCCUACUCAAGAGUCCAUAUCGACAGUUAGGGUUUACGACCUCGAUGUUGGAUCAGGACAUCCAAAUGGUGUAACCGCUAUUAAUGGUUCGUUUGUUCAACGAUUAAAGU
rnacentral:rRNA from 1 species